AGCAGUCGCCACGGUAAUACGAAGGGGGCUAGCGUUGCUCGGAAUUACUGGGCGUAAAGGGAGCGUAGGCGGACAUUUAAGUCAGGGGUGAAAUCCCAGAGCUCAACUCUGGAACUGCCUUUGAUACUGGGUGUCUUGAGUGUGAUAGAGGUAUGUGGAACUCCGAGUGUAGAGGUGGAAUUCGUAGAUAUUCGGAAGAACACCAGUGGCGAAGGCGACAUACUGGAUCAUUACUGACGCUGAGGCUCGAAAGCGUGGGGAGCAAACAGGAUUAGAGACCCCUGUAGUCCCUGUCUCUUAUAC
rnacentral:rRNA from 1 species